rnacentral:rRNA from 1 species
GACAGAGGUGCCGAGCGUUAGGCGGAAUCACUGGGCUUAAAGCGUGUGUAGGCGGACCGUUAAGUACCUUGUGAAAUCCCCCGGCUCAACCGGGGAACGGCUGGGUAUACUGGCGGUCUUGAGCCACCUAGGGGCGAGCGGAACAAGCGGUGGAGCGGUGAAAUGCGUAGAUAUCGCUUGGAACGCCGACGGUGAAAACAGCUCGCUGGGGGUGUGCUGACGCUGAGACGCGAAAGCCAGGGGAGCGAACGGG